AGACGAGAAAAUGGUGUUUUUAGAGUAAUUUGGGGUCUGAUGGUUUUGUUUUGUGGAAAUUUGACUGGAGCAAAAAUUUUGGAUUUGGGCCGAGAGCAAGUCAAAACACUUUGCAAUGCAUCGCAGAAUUCAAGCGUGGGCUCGCAAGUUAUUUCUGAAAUAAUAAUAAUAAUACAGAAUAGAAAGGGAACAUCAAUUGCCUAGCUCGAUUCCUUCUUUCUCUCUCUACCAUGUUCAUCUUGUUCAUCCUUCACCAUUUCCCCACUCAGAGCUCCACCUGCAAAACCAGCACCAACCUCAGCUCCGUGUUCGUCCAUGCCCAGCAACCCAAACCUGUUCGCGAACCUAGACCAGCACAAAAAUCUCUCGAGCCCCCUACAUCUCUUUUCGACAACCCAGGCACGAAGCUUCUCCUCCCACAAAAUUUCAACUCUGACCACCACAACUCCAAGCUGCCUGCACAUAACUCGCGCAAGCCCCACCCCGAAGUCGCGCGCCACCACCAGCCCUUCGGUGUGCUUAAGCCCAGGAGCGUAGAGCGCAUCUCCUUCCCAUCGCACCCAGAAAAAAGUCGACCCCAAACCCAACUUCAUGAGCCCCUAGUUGCGUGACUUCACAACUCGAGACCCCAGGCGAGAUUCUGACUGCCACCGUCGACCCACAGAGCACCUAGCUCCGUUUGCGAAUCCUCACAACUUGAAAGCUCGACCCAGCUCCGUUUGUCACCUCGAGACCCCAUCUGAGCAUCCUUCCGAGCCUUUGAUAGUCUCCUAGGUCACAGGCUAUCUCUGUAUUUUAGAUGACCAAGUGAGAAUGUGGUUUCAAUUAGAUUUAACAGGCGCCUUAUUUUCUUUAUCACUGAUUAUAGAUUGUGGGUUCAUCGAUGGGUAAUCAAUUUUUUUUCCUCUUUGGUUGCUUAAUCUGUGAUUAUGAAUCUGAUUUCUUGGGUUGCUCUGUUUAGUUGAGUCUCUAUUGCAUAUUGUGGCUGCCUUGCUCUUUGUUGUUGAACUGGAAAUUAUUGUUGGUGCUGCCUAUGUAACAGAAUUGGUGCUAUUGUGUAGUUUUGCUAAUUGAUAAGCAGGUGGACAUAUUGCGUGGUUGCCCGAGUCUGUUAUGUUGAUGUUGAGCUAUGAUUUGUGAGCCCCUGCAACCUUUUUUGUCAAAAUUUUGCCCCAAAUAAUUUGUUGUUUUUUUUCGUUCUAUGGUUGUAAUCAUGUUGUUUUAGUGUCUUGUUCAUGUAUUGGACUUUUUUUUAGUUGUCUUUGUUGUGUUGUCGUUCUUUUGAGGAUUUUAUUUAUCUUUGUUAGUGUUCACUAGGGGGCUCGAUGACGGUCUUCAAAUACUACAAAAAAAAAAAAAAAAAAUCUAAGUUGAAGCUGAAUGUCUUUCUGGCUUGAGAUUUUAAGCUCAAUUCUUUGGGUAUGAAUGUUGCUAGCAAUUAAUUGAUGAGAGUGUUUUCUUUUUAGUGUGUGUAGAGCUUGAUUAAACAUUUUUGAGACCCUACAAAGAUCUAGUUUCUUGUGAGAGCUUAAGUUUCUAGAAUUACAAAACUGGUUUUCCUUGAGACGAAAUCCUAGACAUCACUACACUAAUGACAUGAUUUAAACCAUCUUUUGACCGUUUGAGCCUUUAAAGCAUAUGCCCUAUAUAAAUUUUUAUCCCUACUUACCCCGUUGAGCUUAAUAGUCACUUUUCUUUCUUAGCCACUCAUUAGCCUAGCUAGAUAUAAUAAUCUCCUUUCACCAUACCCUAAGACACCUUGAUCUUUAUAGGAUAGAUUUGUGCAUUUUGGGGGUUGAGAGGAGUUGAGUGUGAGAGAGGAACUAGGUGAGAGUUUUCAUUUUCUUUUUUUUUCUUGUUUUCGCCAUCGCAGACAAUGUUGAAUUUUAUGUUUGGGGGAGAGUGUAUUAUGAUUUUUCUCGUUCUCUUGCCAUUUAGCUUGUUUAUCAUCAUUCAAAAAGAAAAGUAGGAAAAUGUUGUAAGAAAAAAAAAUCAAGAGUGUGCUCCCUUGCAUCAAAGCAAAGUUUGAAUUUCUUUUUUUAAAAAGAAGUCAAUAAAAAAGAAAAAACAAUUAUACUUGUAAAUAAGUUUGGGUGUAACUCUUCAAAUAAAAAUAUAAGUUUUUUUCUUUAGUUCUUGUCUUUAUAUGUUAGUAAUAAAAGCUAGUGGCAAGAGUUAUAUUUUGUUUUGGGGUGUUAAUUGGGGAAAUUAAUGUGUGCAUUGAUUUAGGUCCUAUAAAGAUUUUGGUGCUUAGGUUGAUUUGAGCCAAAAUUAAUCUCUCUUAUCCUACCUUCACCCUAGCCUAUCUUUGGUGUGGUAUUUGUCUACAUUAGUGGAGAGAGGAUCACUAAGUAACUUAUGGCGGAAAUAUUUAAGCUUUAGGACCAAUGUCUAGUUUGAUUUUGUAUUUGGUGAUUGAAAAUGCUUAGGAGAAAUUAUGCAUGCACUAAAGAGAGAAACACUUGACUCAUAUUUUGACAGCAGCAUUAAUGCUUGAAGAGUUUGGUUUAAAGCUUGUGUAAGUUUGAAAUUCAGCUUCUUUUAUUCAAAAUAAAAUUCUCGAGAGCUUUCCCCUUUUAGCAUUGGCAAAGCAAAGUUUAUCAUCUUUUGUUGUGUCUUGUCCUUGUUGUUUUCCUUUUCCUUUUGUUGUUUAAUGUGUCUUUUGUUAUUUUUUUUAGAUUUAUCACUCGAUGAUGAGUAAUGUCUUAAGUUUGGGGGGUGUGAUAACUCUUGAAUAAAGAGUUAUGUCUUUAAGUAAUGUAAGUGCAUUGUCUAGCCUAAGGGUUGCUUUAUUAUCAAGGUUAACAACAUGGAAUAGAGUUGUCCUAGAAAAUUGAACAAUUUAGUUUUUAUAUUAGAGAACAAGACACCCAACUCAUUUACAUAAACAUACUUAUUAGAGCAGUCACAAUGGGUGAGGUAUACUACCUCAAAUUAAAAAAAUAUAAUAGCAAAAAAGAGGGAAAAAGAGGCCUCCAAUGGAUUAUGCAUUUUACAUACACUUUUACAUACAGCUACCUACAUCACCACGUCUAGCUUCUACUGUUUACGUAUCAACAAUUAUUAUUUUGAUUUCUCUCUUCUCUUCCCUUCCACUACCUAUUCCCUCAUUUUCUUUUAGGAUUGGCGCCAAACUCUUUCUGGACUAUGCUUGGGGAGACCCUAUUUUAGGGCUUCUCAUUUUUUCUUCUUAUCUCUCCCUUCCUUUCUCAUUAGCUUCAUCUGCCGUUUUAGUAUAAUUUCAUUGAGAUUUUAGGUUGGAAAUGUGAAAGAGAAUUUUGGAUGCGAAAGGUUUCUUGGUUAGUUCUCUCCUCUUCCUCCUGAAUAUUGUUCUUUCUUUUGUUUUGUGUUUUUCGUUGCUUUCUUUAAUUAUCUUGGUGGCUUUGAAUAGAUCAAAUUAAGGAAGGACAUAAGAACUUUGUUUUCUUUUAUGAUAUAUUAUGAUAUUGAUAUAUAGUACUUUUCAGUUUCACACAUGCAUAUCUAUAUAGAGGAUGAUCAAAUUAGUAGAUUUCGUAUGUCAUUCACUUGGAACACUUUUUAGAGCCUUAGGAGGCUAAAGUACAAAAUCAUUUGGCAGCUUUAUUGUUUUGAAUAUUGAGAGUCUAAUCUAGUCUAUUAUAUAUACAUAUAUAUUUAUAUAUAUCAUCUUUGGAUCAAGAUGAUCUAUCUCUAUGUCGCUUUGACAAAAUCAUUCCCAAUACUUUUGACAGAAACCCCAUUUGGAGAACAUUGUAUUGAGACUUAUGCAUGUAUUAUUUUCUUUUUUCAUCGUAUAAAAGGCGAUCAAAACAUUAUCAUUAAAAAAUGUAUAGUUCUCUAUAAAUAUACAUUAUGUAUUUUUUUGUAUCUUUUUAGAUUAUUAGAUUAUUACUAUUCCAUUUCCUUUUUUUUCAAUGAUUCUAGAUCAUUUGAGUGUUUUGUAAGGGAUGGCUCCAUUUACACUGUUCAAAAUUUUUUGGUAUGCAUAUGAUUUAUGAUAUUGAUGCUGAAAUUUAGAGAAUUAGACGAGGGAGAAUAGUUGUUUUAGAUGAAUUAAGAAUCAGAGAUAUGCAUGUCAGAUUAUGCUAUUGGUCCUAAAUCUUUGGUAUGUCUGAGACUUAGUUGACUUUAUUCUUUAGUUGGUUUCUGAACAUAAACAUCAACUCUAUAUGUUUCAUUUGUAGCUAUCUACUUCUUGUACGAUUUGUCACUUGUUUGAAGCUGUAGGUAAUUGAACCAUUAAAGCUUUUGUUUAAGGAUGAGUUUUGAACUAUGACUAAUGACAUUGUUUGUGCGUACACUUGUUACAAAUUUCCUUUUCAUAUGGCUUGAUACAAAUUUAUUUUGGGAAUCCAAUUAUCACAGGAAAUAGAAAUUUAAUAAUUUUUUUCUUUCAUUUCUAAGUGAUUGUUGUAGAUGGAACCAGAGUAUAUAUUUGCAAUAUUUGUGACGCAUUAUGUUAAAUCCAAUACACAUCUUAUCGUCAUCUUUUAUUUUUUUUUCUUUUCUAGAAAUCUUAUUUUGAAUAUUUUUUGUUUCAUUAAGCUGCAUCAUAGGGAUAGUUAGUUUAUCAAAUGGUGUUACUGAUGUGAUAUUGGUAUGUUGGUAAAUUCAAUUUGGUAUGCAGGGAUCCAUAACAGUGAAGGAAGAGUUUAUUUUUUAAAAAAUCUUGGGUGUGUGGAUACUAGUAUAUGAAAGUAGAAUUAAAGGAUUUAAUGUAAGAUAUUCAAAUGACCUUUUAUGAUAUGCAUUGACUAUCUGUCAAGCACGAAGGGAACUGUCCUUACAUUUUUAUAUUAAUUUUUAUUUUUUUCUGUUGUUGAAUAUGGUUGGGACUUCGAACUUGGAAGUCAAAGGAGGGAGAUACUUCUUUUAGUUUUAUUUAAAUGAGAAAAAAAAGAAGGUUUAAUAAAUUCUGACAGUGAUUGCCUACAUCUUUCAGAAUUUCAUCAAUUGAUCCCCUUACUUAUUAAUUACAUGCGACAAUGCAACGACACAGUAACUUUUAAUAUUAUUUCAUUCUUUCAGGACCAUUUGCUUUCUUGUAGACCUGGUGUUCUAAAUGUGGGUUAGGAUGAAAAAGAAAGUAGCAUAGUGUCAUUAAUUAAUUAAGGGAGAAACAUAAGUCAUUAUCCAUUUCUUUAGGCAUUCUUUUUUGGGACAAUUUUGCAGACCUGAUGUUUUAUGGUUAAACUUUGCAGAUAUAGUUGUGUGGAACUUGAAGUGGAGUUUAACCUCACUCAAGACCAUCCUGUAUUCAUUAAGCAUCAAGGUUUUGAGUCUGGGUUCUGCUAAAGGAGGUAAAGGUAGGGUGAUGCUACCACGACACUCAGGCAUUCUUAAAAUUAGUUGGUUGGGGCCCAGAUUUAUCCGAAACCCUAAGUGUGGAAAAGCUUAACCAGUGAGAAGUCAGAGUUUGCCUGCGAAAGUGUACAUGUGGCCUAACCUUUUGGGAGUCUGCACAUUCAAAAAUUGUGUAAGCGAAGGAGUUCUAUCAAAGUAUCCAUCCUACUUUAUUAAACUUUCCUCAUUGUUGGACUAAAAGAAGAUCGGUAAUUCCAGAUGGUUGUACUCAUGAGUUCCUAGAUGAAGAUACUAAAUCACCAUCUUUAGAUGUGAAUUUAGAGAGGCCCAUUGGAAAGAAGACUGCAAAGAAGUGAAAGAUGAAAGGGAAUACAUUUUCCAAUCUUACUGAUUUGAUGAUUGAAAUGAAAAGAGAGAGAAAUAAAUCAAAUGCUGAGAUGGGAGAAAUUAGGAAAGAGUAUGCCCCCAUUGCAAAAUAAAAGGCUUGAAUUGAAUAAACAGAAAAAAAAAAAAAAUCACGACAAGGGAAUUAGAGAUUAUGAUAAUAGAUAUAUCAACUUUAUCUCAAAUGGAACAAGAGUAUUUUUGUAGCAUCCAAUUGGAAAUACUUGAGAAGCAAAAGUCUAGAAAUCCAUGAUUGGAAGGUGCCCGGGCUGGUAUUUUUGGUAUUUUUUAAAGGUAACAAUGCAACCACUUUUGAGAAUUCUCGUUUCCUAGUUUUUAUCAUCGGUUUUUUGCAUAGAAAUAUGCAUAAACCAGCAGCCCAAUACAUGGUUAUUUUUUAUACUUU